UACGGAGGGAGCUAGCGUUGUUCGGAAUUACUGGGCGUAAAGCGCGCGUAGGCGGUCUGCCAAGUCAGAGGUGAAAUCCCGGGGCUCAACCCCGGAACUGCCUUUGAAACUAUCAGACUGGAAUCUUGGAGAGGUGAGUGGAAUUCCGAGUGUAGAGGUGAAAUUCGUAGAUAUUCGGAAGAACACCAGUGGCGAAGGCGACUCACUGGACAAGUAUUGACGCUGAGGUGCGAAAGCGUGGGGAGCAAACAGG
rnacentral:rRNA from 1 species